rnacentral:rRNA from 1 species
AUUGAACGCUGGCGGCAGGCCUAACACAUGCAAGUCGAGCGAGCGGCGGACGGGUGAGUAAUGUAUGGGGACUGCCCGAUCGAGGGGGAUAAAUACUGGAAACGGUAGCUAAUACCGCAUAUUCUCGGAUAACCCAUAUGGGAUUAGCUAGUAGGUGAGGUAAUGGCUCACCAAGGCGACGAUCCCUAGCUGGUUGUAGAGGACGACCAGCCACACUGGAACUGAGACACGGCCCAGACUCCUACGGAGGCAGCAGUGGGGAAUUGUGGACAAUGGGGGAAACCCUGAUCCAGCCAUCCCGCGUGUAUGAUGAAGGCCUUCGGGUUGUAAAGUACUUUUAGCAGAGAAGCGGUAUCUGCAGAAUAAGCACCGGCUAACUACGUGCCAGCAGCCGCGGUAAUAC